UUGUCUUCUAAAUAAAGACCUGUAUGAACGGCUAAAUGAGGAUAAACCUGUCUCUUAUAACCAACCAGUGAAACUGAUCUCCCAGUACAAAAGCUGGGAUAAUUUCAUAAGACGAGAAGACCCUGUGGAGCUUAAAACAAACCACCAACUACAUCAACUAGUAUGGUAUAAUGUCUUAAGUUGGGGCGACUUCGGAAUAAACACAACUUCCGAGCACAGAACCACCACUUCAUAUCAAGGCCAACAAGCCAAAGUACUAACUUGACCCGGCCCACGCCGAUCAUCGAACCAAGUUACCCCAGGGAUAACAGCGCUAUCUUCUUCAAGAGUCCCUAUCAACAAGAAGGUUUACGACCUCGAUGUUGGAUCAGGACACCCAAAUGGUGCAGCCGCUAUUAAAGGUUCGUUUGUUCAACGAUU
rnacentral:rRNA from 1 species